GCAGUCGACGAGACCUUCGGGUCUAGUGGCGCACGGGUGCGUAACGCGUGGGAAUCUGCCCUUGGGUUCGGAAUAACAGUUGGAAACGACUGCUAAUACCGGAUGAUGACGAAAGUCCAAAGAUUUAUCGCCCAGGGAUGAGCCCGCGUAGGAUUAGCUAGUUGGUGAGGUAAAGGCUCACCAAGGCUACGAUCCUUAGCUGGUCUGAGAGGAUGAUCAGCCACACUGGGACUGAGACACGGCCCAGACUCCUACGGGAGGCAGCAGUAGGGAAUAUUGGACAAUGGGGGCAACCCUGAUCCAGCAAUGCCGCGUGAGUGAUGAAGGCCUUAGGGUUGUAAAGCUCUUUUACCCGGGAUGAUAAUGACAGUACCGGGAGAAUAAGCCCCGGCUAACUCCGUGCCAGCAGCCGCGGUAAUACGGAGGGGGCUAGCGUUGUUCGGAAUUACUGGGCGUAAAGCGCACGUAGGCGGCGAUUUAAGUCAGAGGUGAAAGCCCGGGGCUCAACCCCGGAAUAGCCUUUGAGACUGGAUUGCUUGAAUCUUGGAGAGGCGGGUGGAAUUCCGAGUGUAGAGGUGAAAUUCGUAGAUAUUCGGAAGAACACCAGUGGCGAAGGCGGCCUGCUGGACAAGUAUUGACGCUG
rnacentral:rRNA from 1 species